rnacentral:tRNA from 1 species
AUGUGGCUUAGUGGUAGAGCAUCUGCCUGGCACGCACAAAGUCCUGGGCUCUAUCCCCAGCAU